rfam:Clonorchis sinensis DNA, scaffold: 1407, strain: Henan.
UCCUCGGUUGUUUAGUGGUGAGUAUCUCCGCCUGUUACGUGGAAGGCCCGGGUUCGAUUCCCGGCCGGGGAG